GCAGCAACGCAACAACUUAAGUGCCCAAUUUAACAACAUGGCCUCCACAGCAUCAUCAUCAACAAGAGGUAGCCAAGCAAGAGGUUAAACAGGUGCUCACAGACAGCCACAAACAACAAGCAACAAACCAGCGAGCAAAGAGACAGAGCAAGAAGGAACAUGUGACUUACAUUUUGGACGUUCAUUCUUCUUUUUUUCCAUGAAGUAUCCAUGUAUCCAGUAGUAUCCAUGUCAGCGACGCACGCACGGCUCGUGUCAAAACUCCAGGCUCCAGAAAUGGUGCAGUACCGCCUUUGACCACACAGACUAUCAGGAGUUUAUCGAUAAGCCCAGAGGGGCGCUGUUUCACUCAAAACAACUUGAUGAAAUGUGAGGAAGACGGGCACCACAUCGAAAUAAAGAAAAA